UACGUAGGGGGCAAGCGUUGUCCGGAUUUAUUGGGCGUAAAGAGCGUGUAGGCGGUUUGGUAGGUCCGCUGUGAAAACUCGAGGCUCAACCUCGAGACGCCGGUGGAAACCAUCAGGCUAGAGUCCAGAAGAGGAGAGUGGAAUUCCUGGUGUAGCGGUGAAAUGCGCAGAUAUCAGGAAGAACACCCGUGGCUAAGGCGGCUCUCUGGGACGGUACUGACGCUGAGACGCGAAAGCGUGGGGAG
rnacentral:rRNA from 1 species